UUUGAGAGGUAUAUGACAAC
rnacentral:misc_RNA from 1 species